rnacentral:rRNA from 1 species
CACGUAGGGUGCGAGCGUUGUCCGGAAUUAUUGGGCGUAAAGAGCUCGUAGGCGGUGUGUCGCGUCGGCCGUGAAAACCUGCAGCUUAACUGUGGGCUUGCGGUCGAUACGGGCAUCACUGGAGUUCGGCAGGGGAGACUGGAAUUCCUGGUGUAGCGGUGAAAUGCGCAGAUAUCAGGAGGAACACCGGUGGCGAAGGCGGCUAUCUGGACCGUAACUGACGCUGAGGCGCGAAAGCGUGGGGAGCAAACAGG